UACAGAGGUGGCAAGCGUUGUUCGGAAUUACUGGGCGUAAAGGGCUCGUAGGUGGUCAACUAAGUCAGACGUGAAAUCCCUCGGCUCAACCGGGGAACUGCGUCUGAUACUGGGUGGCUUGAAUCCGGGAGAGGGAUGCGGAAUUCCAGGUGUAGCGGUGAAAUGCGUAGAUAUCGGGAGGAACACCAGUGGCGAAGGCGGCUUGCCAGAACGCGCUCGACGGUGAGGGAUGAAAGCUGGGGGAGCAAACCG
rnacentral:rRNA from 1 species